UUGAACGCUGGCGGCAGGCCUAACACAUGCAAGUCGAGCGGUAGAGAGGUGCUUGCAUCUCUUGAGAGCGGCGGACGGGUGAGUAAUGCCUAGGAAUCUGCCUAGUGGUGGGGGAUAACGUUCGGAAACGGACGCUAAUACCGCAUACGUCCUACGGGAGAAAGCGGGGGAUCUUCGGACCUCGCGCCAUUAGAUGAGCCUAGGUCGGAUUAGCUAGUUGGUGAGGUAAUGGCUCACCAAGGCGACGAUCCGUAACUGGUCUAAGAGGAUGAUCAGUCACACUGGAACUGAGACACGGUCCAGACUCCUACGGGAGGCAGCAGUGGGGAAUAUUGGACAAUGGGCGAAAGCCUGAUCCAGCCAUGCCGCGUGUGUGAAGAAGGUCUUCGGAUUGUAAAGCACUUUAAGUUGGGAGGAAGGGUAGUAACCUAAUACGUUGCUACUUUGACGUUACCGACAGAAUAAGCACCGGCUAACUUCGUG
rnacentral:rRNA from 1 species